rnacentral:rRNA from 1 species
AUAGCUGGUUCUCCGCGAAAUCUAUUUAGGUAGAGCGUCAGACGAAUACCUUCGGGGGUAGAGCACUGAAUGGGCUAGGGGGCCUUACCGGCUUACCAAACCUAAUCAAACUCCGAAUACCGAAGAGUACUAUCUGGCAGACAGACUACGGGUGCUAAGGUCCGUGGUCGAGAGGGAAACAGCCCAGACCGCCAGUUAAGGUCCCAAAGUUGUGGCUAAGUGGGAAAGGAUGUAGGACGGCCAAGACAACCAGGACGUUGGCUUAGAAGCAGCCAUCGUUUAAAGAAAGCGUAACAGCUCACUGGUCUAAAUAAGCUGUCCCGCGCCGAAGAUGUACCGGGGCUCAAGCCACACACCGAAACUGCGGAUUUGUUCCUUAUGGAACAAGUGGUAGCGGAGCGUUCCGUAAGCCUGUGAAGGUGUGCCGUAAGGCAUGCUGGAGGUAUCGGAAGCGAGAAUGCUGACAUGAGUAGCGAUAAAGGGAGUGAGAACCUCCCUCGCCGAAAGCCCAAGGGUUCCUGCGCAAGGCCAAUCCGCGCAGGGUGAGUCGGCCCCUAAGACGAGGCAGAAAUGCGUAGUCGAUGGGAAACAGGUUAAUAUUCCUGUACCCGUGAGAAGUGACGGCCUCUGGAAGUAGUUUUUCCUUAUUGGAUUGGAGAAGCUGCCAAGGAGGUCCAGGAAAUAACUCUCACAUAUGGACCGUACCCCAAACCGACACAGGUGGGCAGGUUGAAUAUACCAAGGCGCUUGAGAGAAUGGUGUUGAAGGAACUCGGCAAAUUGCCCCCGUAACUUCGGGAGAAGGGGGCCCACCGUGAAGGCAACUUUACGGUGGGGGCACAGACUAGGGGGUGGCGACUGUUUACUAAAAACACAGGGCUCUGCGAAGUCGCAAGACGACGUAUAGGGUCUGACGCCUGCCCGGUGCCGGAAGGUUAAGAGGAGGUGUGCAAGCACCGAAUUGAAGCCCCGGUAAACGGCGGCCGUAACUAUAACGGUCCUAAGGUAGCGAAAUUCCUUGUCGGGUAAGUUCCGACCUGCACGAAUGGCGUAACGACUUCCCCGCUGUCUCCAGCAUCGACUCAGUGAAAUUGAAUUCCCCGUGAAGAUGCGGGGUUCCUGCGGUCAGACGGAAAGACCCCGUGCACCUUUACUAUAGCUUUGCAGUGGCAUUAGUGACGGCAUGUGUAGGAUAGGUGGUAGGCUUUGAAGCUCGGGCGCCAGCUCGGGUGGAGCCGUCCUUGAAAUACCACCCUUACCUUUACUGAUGUCUAACCGCGGUCCGUUAUCCGGAUCCGGGACCCUGCAUGGUGGGUAGUUUGACUGGGGCGGUCGCCUCCCAAAGAGUAACGGAGGCGCGCGAAGGUAGGCUCAAGCUGGACGGAAAUCAGCUGUUGAGUGCAAUGGCAUAAGCCUGCCUGACUGCGAGGCCGACAGGCCGAGCAGAGACGAAAGUCGGUCAUAGUGAUCCGGUGGUCCCGCGUGGAAGGGCCA